AUUGGUGUGGACUUCACAGGCAUUCUUCACAUUUAGCACCAAGGUCCAUGUAACCUUCUGUCUCAGCAUAUGUGCCACUUUGAUGAGGAGCUCUUUAUUUUACAGGGAUAUAUGGUCUUACUGUGGUCUUAAUUGUGUAUUUGUAUAAACAGUAUAUUUCAUUAAACAUUGAAAAGACA